UACGUAGGGGGCGAGCGUUGUCCGGAUUCAUUGGGCGUAAAGAGCUCGUAGGCGGCUUACUAAGUCGAGUGUGAAACCUCCAGGCUCAACCUGGAGCCUGCACUUGGUACUGGUAUGGCUUGAGUCCGGUAGGGGACCACGGAAUUCCUGGUGUAGCGGUGAAAUGCGCAGAUAUCAGGAGGAACACCUGUGGUGUAGACAGCUUACUGGACCACUUCUGACGCUGAGACACGAAAGCGUGGGUAGCAAACAGG
rnacentral:rRNA from 1 species